AAUAGGAGGCUGACUAAAGUAACAGAGAGGUCAACAGGACCCUGGAAGUGUGUAUGAAAAAAUGAGGCACCAAUUAAGUUGAAAUGCUUCACCAUGCUAGUAGUCAGAAGAGCUAUAACUUGUCGGAUUCACGAUGUACUAAAAAAGGAAACCUACAUUGCUUCAUGAUGCUCAUCAUGUAAGAGUUACAGCACAAGGGUGGGCAUCAUUCGUCAAUUUAGCUAAGGUGAACUGGUCUAU
rnacentral:misc_RNA from 1 species